UAUGUGGGGGCUGCCAUGUCGCCAGGCACAUGUGGGGCAAGGGCAAGAAGAAGAGGGCGGGAAUCACCAUGUUUGGGUGGACCCAGUUUCUAAUGGCCCACAUUUGCG